rnacentral:rRNA from 1 species
GACGAACGCUGGCGGCGUGCCUAACACAUGCAAGUCGAACGGGGUAGAGAGCGUCGGUUUUCUACUUAGUGGCGAACGGGUGAGUAACGCGUGAGAAACCUGCCUUUCAGUGGGGGACAACAGUUGGAAACGACUGCUAAUACCGCAUAAUGUAUUCGGGGGGCAUCCCCUGAAUACCAAAGCUUUAUGUGCUGAAAGAUGGUCUCGCGUCUGAUUAGCUAGAUGGCGGGGUAACGGCCCACCAUGGCGACGAUCAGUAGCCGGUCCGAGAGGAUGAACGGCCACAUUGGGACUGAGAUACGGCCCAGACUCCUACGGGAGGCAGCAGUGGGGAAUAUUGGGCAAUAGGGGAAACCCUGACCCAGCAACGCCGCGUGAAGGAAGAAGGCCUUCGGGUUGUAACCUUCUUUUAGCAGGGACGAAGAACGUGACGGUACCUGCAGAAAAAGCAACGGCUAACUACGUGCCAGCCGCCGCGGUAAAAC